GCCCGGGUGGCCGAGCGGUUCUAGGCGCUACAGUCUGGCUGUAAUGGUCGCAGGUUCGAAUCCUGCCUCGGGCA